GGGCGUGUAGCUCAAUUGGCAGAGCUGUGGCCAUUUAAGCCAUAGGUUGGGGGUUCGAGUCCCUCCACGCUCA
rnacentral:tRNA from 1 species